rnacentral:lncRNA from 1 species
UCCGAUUUAUAUUUAUUUAGAUUAUGGGAUCCAUGUGAAUUUACAAUUUAAAAAUUUUGGAUUUAGGAAUUGAUAUGUUCCUUUACUUUGGUUAAUGAGGUCCCUGAUUGAAUCUAUUAAGUGAGGAUUUGAUUUUUUUGAGGCUUGUAUGAUUGUUAUGAAAAGAUACUUGAUAGAUAUUGAAGAUCCUGAUGAUAAAAAUUUUAUAAAAGAUAAUGAUUUAAAAUUCUUAUAUAUUCUGAUUCUGUCCUAACUUAAUGGACCAUCGAAGGAUUUUCUCAUUGAUUUGACUUAUAAGGAUUUUGAUUUGGAAUUUAUCUAAUUGAAUCGAUAUGAAAAUUAAGAUUUGAUUCAUAUUGAUUAUAGUAAAUCUAUAUGAUGGUUUUAAAUGUGAUAUUGAACUCAAGAGUUAAUCAAGAUUAUUGUAUACCAGUAAAAGUAUGAACGAGAAUCAGAAGUUAAUCUUUGGCUUCAAUUGAAAUUUAAAAUUUAAAUUUUUUUAUUGAUAAGAUAAAGAAAUAAUUUGAUCAAAAUUUUUUUGGUGAACCUAAGAAAUUUUAAUUGUUAGAACAGAGUGCGCAACAGAAGCAUGAUGAUCUGGAUUACUUUGAGUAAGUCAGGAAUGUUAAUUCUUUGAGUCAAAGAAUCAUGAUAAAUGAUAUGGUUUGAUACAAAAAAUUCAUUGAUAUUGAAAAGAAUAAUAUUUUUUUUUUUAAAUUUGGAUAUCCUUAAUAUGAUUUUUAAAAGUAGUGCUUCCACCUACUAUGCUAAAAAAAUAUUUAGCAUCCUAAUUCUAGGAUGAGUGGACCCUUAAUUUUUGAUUUUUGAUUUUAGAUUUAGAAUAUUUAGAGAUAAAUUCUCUAUCCUAGAAUUGAAUUUUAUAAUUCUUUAUUUAUUAGAAAGAAUUUGAGAUUGUUUAUCGAAUAAUGAUUUUGAUCUUAGAUUAUUAUACUCAAAUAUUUAUCUCCAGGGUAUAAUAAAAUUUGAAGUUUGAACUCUUUUGAUCAUUAUUAUUUCUCUGACUGAAUGAAAAAGAUUGAGGUUAUCUAUUGAUAUUGACGUUUGUUCUACAAAAGAUGGAUUGGAGUUAUUUAUAAUUUAAUUUGAUAAUGAAUCGAUUAAUUAAGAGUACUUAAUGUUUAGAUAAAGAAAAUUGAUAUACUUACUUAGAAUAGAGACAUUGAUUUUUGAUUAUAAGAAAAAAAAAUAGUUUUAAUUUAGAUCAACUUUUGAGUUAUUGAUUUUUCUUAUGGAAUGACUUGAUGAUAAAAUUUGCUUCAAGAAUUAGAAUAUUUAAGAGUUUCAGGAUUUGAGUAAGAAAAUUUCAAUGACUAGAAAUAGUGGUUUUGAUUCUAAUCAACACCGGUGAUAUUGAUCUUUUUCUAUGAAAUGACUUAAUGAUGAAGUUGCAUUGAGAAUUAAAAUAUCAAAAGUUUGAGGAUGAGAUUAAAAAGAUAAAUUUUCAACCUUUGAAAGUAUGAAUAAGAGAAAAUAUUUUUGAAUUUUGAUUGAUUGGGAUGUCAUUAUAUGAUUCAUAUAAGUAUGCUUUCCUAUCUUAUGAUGGGUUGAUUAAUUAAGAGCGGUUAAUAUUUUGAAAAAAAAAAUUAUGAUGAUGAAUGAAAUUUUUAUGCAAGAAUAGAGACAUUGAUUUUCUUAUAUCUACAAGAGAUGGAUUUGAUUUUAAUUUGAGUCAUGAGAUAUUGAACACUAUUUUUAUAGAAAUAAGAUCAUAAUUUCGAAAUCUUAAAAUAUUGAAAAUCUUUGAGAUGUUGGUCUUGAUAAAUAAGAAAUAAAUGGUUCUGUUUCAGAUCGAUAUUUGAUGUAUUGACUUUUUUCUUAUGAAAUGAUUUAAGAAUGAAUUUGUAUCAAGAAUUAGAAUUUUGAAAUAUUUGAGGAUGAGAUUCAAGUAAGAAACUAUGAAGACACAAGCAAGAAAAAUUUCGAGGACGAAAUUUCUUUUAGAGGAGAAGAAUGUGAUAGCCUGGCUCAAUUAGGCCUUAAACCCAGCUCACAAAGUCCAAACGAAAAAAAAAAGAGGAAGGGAAAGCAGAGGAGAAGACUCCCAAAGGAAGUCUUCUUCCUCCUUUCAUCGGCUCCCAGCCGGAGUCGGAAAGAGCCCCCUCCAGCUCUAUUUAAGGAGGAGAACCCUCCUCUCUCCCUCUCACCGGAGAACCCGAAGUCCAUCGAUAACAAUCGUCGGAAAGCCACUGUGAAAGACCGUUCCUGUGCCCAUUAAGAUUUCUCGUCGGAAAAGCUUCGCCGGCAUUGAAGGUGAGUCUCCUCCCCUUCCUCUCUUCUCCUCCUUUCUUCCCGUACCCGUGUGCACAAUCGCCGACGAUCGGAGUCGCCGGAUUUUGUUGCGGAAGAAACUUCUGUUUUUACCCUAUUUUCUUUGGUUUUUCAGGUGCCGGUGGUCGCCGUCGGCCACUAGUUUGGGACCCUCCGAGCCGCCCGUCGUCGACCGCUUGUCACCGGCCAGUCUCAUGCCGAUCAGCCAUCAGUCGGCUGACUAAUCGAGGGGACUGUGAGGUCCCUUGUUUCGGCCCAAGGCAACCCGUGGGAAGAAGAAAAGAAAACGAAGGAAAAAGAAAAAGAAAAAAAAGAAAAAAAAGAAAAGAAAAAAAA